GACGAACGCUGGCGGCGUGCUUAACACAUGCAAGUCGAACGGAAAGGCCCUGCUUUUGUGCGGUGCUCGAGUGGCGAACGGGUGAGUAACACGUGAGUAACCUGCCCUUGACUUUGGGAUAACUUCAGGAAACUGGGGCUAAUACCGGAUAGGAUCUCCUGCUGCAUGGUGGGGGUUGGAAAGUUUCGGCUGUUGGGGAUGGACGGGCGGCUUAUCAGCUUGUUGGUGGGGUAGGUGCUUACCAAGGCUUGGACGGGUAGGCGGCCUGAGAGGGUGAACGGGCACCUGACGACUACGAUACGGACCAGAGUCGAACGGGAGGCAACAGUGGGGAAUAUUGCACAGUGAGCGGAAGCCUGAUUCAGAGACGCUGCGUGCGUGAUGACGGCUUUCGGGUUGUAAACAGCUGUCGCCUGUGACGAAGCGUGAGUGACGGUAACGGGUAAAGAAGCACCGGCUAACUACGUG
rnacentral:rRNA from 1 species